rnacentral:tRNA from 1 species
GGUUCCAUAGUAUAUCGGUUAGUACGCCGCCCUGUCACGGCGGAGAGGCGGGUUCGAUUCCCGCUGGGACCG